rnacentral:ribozyme from 1 species
AGUUGCAAGUUUGAGACCAUACCAGAAGUGCUCACAGCGCAGCCCUGUCAGAUUCCAACAAAUCUACCAAUUCUGCU